UAAGACGGAGGGGGCAAGCGUUGUUCGGAAUUAUUGGGCGUAAAGGGCUCGUAGGCGGACCGGUGUGUCUGGCGUGAAAUCUCCACUGCUUAACAGGGAGGGGCCGCUGGAAACUGCCGAUCUUGAGUAUGGUAGAGGACCAUGGAAUUCCGGGUGUAGCGGUGGAAUGCGUAGAUAUCCGGAAGAACACCGGUGGCGAAGGCGGUGGUCUGGACCAAAACUGACGCUGAGGAGCGAAAGCCAGGGGAGCAAACGGGAUUAGAUACCCCGGUAGUCCUGGCUGUAAACGUUGGAUACUAGGUGUGGGGGGUAUCGACCCCUCCUGUGCCGCAGCUAACGCAUUAAGUAUCCCGCCUGGGAAGUACGGCCGCAAGGUUG
rnacentral:rRNA from 1 species